CCAAUUUUUACCUUCAUUAUCUUUGAAUCGUGUUUUGGUGUAUGGUUGAUCAAGCUUUUGGGUGACAGAUUGUACAUCAAAGGGGAGGAAUUCUGAGUUGUAGCUGGAAUCAACUCUUCAAAUACAACACUAAGUAAACCCCUAUGAUGACGGCCAACCCUAAGUUGUAGGACAAAAUCUUCCUUAGUCGUUAAUACAAAGAACACAGCUGCAACAACAACGGAAAGUUACCCCUGAUAAUUUGGAAGUUAUGGAUGAAGAAAUUUGUAGUAGUACAACAAAUUAUGAUAGUAGUAACCAUCGCGGAAGGCGAUAUUCUCGAAUUAAUGCACGACACCAUUUAUCUAAUUUUACGGACGGAGAGAGAUCUCGCUGCUUGCAAGGCAUGCUGAAUCUCAAAGGCAAAAGCCUCGUGCAAGACAACAUCAAUUAUGUAGUCCUGCAGAAACUAGAAGACAAUUCGACUACGGAGAUAAACAUCUGAACUAGAAAGACAACAUAUUGGGCAUCAAUACGCCGUUGUCGCAAGAGCACGAUCAAUGAAUGCUGGGUCUUCACAGAGAAUGGUAGCAUGUAAGUUGUCCUUAUGUUCAAGAAUAACCAAAUUAAAAGUGUAGCGAUUCAAAUUUAUCAAAUGAAAUGUUUGGGUUUUCAUGGGACAACCGGUUAAUAACAUGGGUCCAAGUAUUCCAAGAGGUGCACGCUUAAGUAGCAUAAAAAGAUUAGCCCAAGGUUAUUGUUCCACUACUACGGAAACUUUUGGAGAACAAUCUGUAAACGGUGUCGGUCAAUCUAUUACAUAUGUUGUGCGCUUAAGUAGCAUAAGAAAACUAGCAAGGAAUCAUCGGUCACCUACUGCGGAAUUUGCUGGCAUACCAAAUAAUGAAGAUCAACCAUCACAUAGAGAUACAACUGCCAAUAUUCCAAUCGUUGGACGAUUAUGUUGGCAAGUACUCUGUCGUUUAAAAAAACCAUUAAUUAUUUACUUAAUAUUUUUGAUUCGCUAAUUGUGACAUAAGUGAAUUUAUUCUGAGCAAGCCGGGGAAUUUGAGUUCGUAGAAGAAAUUGAGUUUGCGAAUGAAAACGAAGUUGUCGAUGGAUGCCACUAUCGUGCGAGAGAUUUCCGAGAUUAUAUUGGGUUUCAUAUAUUUUCUUUGCCACCUCCAAAUAUGUACUUCCAAGCAAAUAAUUGUAGGCGGACCAGGAUUUCAAAA